AUUCAAUAAGGAGUCAGAGUAGCUCUAGAAUCUAGAAUUUAGAAUGAUGCUAGUUGGUGGCCUGAGAAAGAUAGGAAUAAAAUAGGAAGAAGGUAGAAGAAAUCUUUGCUUGAGGUUACUAUGUCUCAGCUAUUCAAAUCAGUCAGUUCCCGUUGAGUGUCAGUGAAGCAGAUCACAUGGAUAUAAUAGUAGCUGUUCAUCACAUGCAAGGCCAUGUCCCUUUGGUUCUGCUGUGGGAUACAACGAUUCACCUUUGAUUCCAACUUCACGCAGACUCAUGGUGGUCCAACAGUUGUCGGAAUUGAUCUAUCCACCUGGUUCCCAGCUGCCUAAUAGUUAUGGAAAACUGUAGUGAAAGCUCACAGUGCAGAAUCCAGUAACAGCCAAGAAAUCAGAGGUGGCAAAAAAAAAAAAAGUAACUUGGGAGAAAUGGAAAGAUAGAACUCUUGUAUACAAAGGAGAAAGCUUGGAUAUAUUCAACAGAAACCUUCCCAAAAUCAAUGUUAUUUCCAAUCAAAAACACCAUCAAAGCUCUAUGGUAGAUUUCUUGGGACUUGGCACUACUCCUUGCUUCUAGGAAUACUUUCAUAAUUGUAUUUUAUUUCUUAUUAAACUAUUGGUUCUCUCUAGAUGCCAAAACUUUUCCCUCUAAAGUUAUCUUUAAUUUAUUUACUCUCUCUCUGUUUCUACACACAUAUGCAUACAUUCAUAAACAUGUGUGUGCAUGUAUGUAUGUGUAUAUCAAUAUAAAAUAAUGUUGGG
rnacentral:lncRNA from 1 species